rnacentral:ncRNA from 12 species
UGAAUAAUGAGCAUUCCAGGCCCCAAAUUUAUGAGGUGGAGGAAUGGGAAGGAGGGGGGUUCAUCAGGCCAUUUGUUCAACAUUCCUCAGCUGUCCCCCCACCCCCCGCCCCAUCUGCACUGAUAGAGGGAAGACCAGCCAGAUGGGGCCCCCAAGCC